rnacentral:rRNA from 1 species
AGUGAACGCUGGCGGUAGGCCUAACACAUGCAAGUCGAACGGCAGCACAGUAAGAGCUUGCUCUUACGGGUGGCGAGUGGCGGACGGGUGAGGAAUACAUCGGAAUCUACUUUUUCGUGGGGGAUGACGUAGGGAAACUUACGCUAAUACCGCAUACGACCUACGGGUGAAAGCAGGGGAUCUUCGGACCUUGCGCGAUUGAAUGAGCCGAUGUCGGAUUAGCUAGUUGGCGGGGUAAAGGCCCACCAAGGCGACGAUCCAUAGCUGGUCUGAGAGGAUGAUCAGCCACACUGGAAGUGAGACACGGUCCAGACUCCUACGGGAGGCAGCAGUGGGGAAUAUUGGACAAUGGGCGCAAGCCUGAUCCAGCCAUACCGCGUGGGUGAAGAAGGCCUUCGGGUUGUAAAGCCCUUUUGUUGGGAAAGAAAAGCAGCAGGUUAAUACCCCGCUGUUCUGACGGUACCCAAAGAAUAAGCACCGGCUAACUUCGUG